rnacentral:lncRNA from 1 species
CAGUUAGCUCCUCCUUCCCUUCUCAUUCCAUUAGCAAUUAGCUUCUUCUUCCCUUCUCAUUCCCACAGCAGUUAGCUCCUCCUUCCCUUCUCAUUCCCAUAGCAGGUAGCGCCUCCUUCCAUUCUCAUUCCCAUAGCAGUUAGCUCCUCCUUCCCUUCUCAUUUCCAUAGCAGUCAGCUCCUCCUUCCCUAUUCAUUACCACAGCAGUGAUGAGAACUGAAAUAGCAGAGGAUGAGAGACCCUGAAACUUCCUCUUUUAAAUUCUGCUCCAACACAAUGAUAAUUUCUCUAUAAUUGGAAAGACUGUGAAUUAUUGUAAAUGACUACUAUUCACGUAUGCUCUUUCUUUGUUUAAGGUGUAGUCAAUGUGUUGAUCUGACUGAAGGAGUGAUGUCUACAAGGGGAUUUACGUGAAGGAGUGAUGUCUAUGAGGGGAUUUCUUUGAAGGGGUGAUGUCUAUGAGGGGAUUUCUGUGAAGGAGUGAUGUCUAUGAGGGUAUUUCUGUGAAGGAGAGAUGUCUUUGGGGGGGUUUAUGUGAAGGAGUGAUGUCUAUGAGGAGGUUUCUGUGAAGAGGUGAUGUCUAUGUGGGGGUUUGUGUGAAGGAGAGAUGUCUUUGGGGGGGUUUCUGUGAAGGAGUGAUGUCCAUGAGGAGGUUCAUGUGAAGGAGUGAUGUCUAUGAGGAGGUUUAUGUGAAGGAGUGACGUCUAUGAGGGGGGGUAUGUGAAGGAGUGAUGUCUAUGAGGGGGUUUAUGUGAAGGAGUGAUGUGUAUGAGGGGGUUUCUGUGAAGGAGUGAUGUGUAUGAGGGGGUUUCUGUGAAGGAGUGAUGUCUGUGGGGGGUUUAUGUGAAGAAGUGAUGUGUAUGGGGAGGUUUAUGGGAAGGAGUGAUGUCUAUGACGAGGUUAUGUGAAGGAGUGAUGUCUAUGGGGAGGUUUACGUGAAUGAAUGAUGUCUAUGAGAAGGCAUAUCAAAUCAAAUGUAUUUAUAUAGCCCUUCUUACAUCAGCUGAUAUCUCAAAGUGCUAUACAGAAACCCAGCCUAAAACCCCAAACAGCAAGCAAUGCAGGUGUAGAAGCACGGUGGCUAGGAAAAACUCCCUAGAAAGGCCAAAACCUAGGAAGAAACCUAGAGAAGAACCAGGCUAUGAGGGGUGGCCAGUCCUCUUCUGGCUGUGCUGGGUGGAGAUUAUAACAGAACAUGGCCAAGAUGUUCAAAUGUUCAUAAAUGACCAGCAUGG